UACGUAGGGCGCAAGCGUUAUCCGGAAUUAUUGGGCGUAAAGAGCUCGUAGGCGGUUUGUCGCGUCUGCCGUGAAAGUCCGGGGCUCAACUCCGGAUCUGCGGUGGGUACGGGCAGACUAGAGUGAUGUAGGGGAGACUGGGAUUCCUGGUGUAGCGGUGAAAUGCGCAGAUAUCAGGAGGAACACCGAUGGCGAAGACAGGUCUCUGGGCAUUAACUGACGCUGAGGAGCGAAAGCAUGGGGAGCGAACAGG
rnacentral:rRNA from 1 species